AUUGAACGCUGGCGGCAGGCCUAACACAUGCAAGUCGAACGAGUGGCGGACGGGUGAGUAAUGUCUGGGAAACUGCCUGAUGGAGGGGGAUAACUACUGGAAACGGUAGCUAAUACCGCAUACCAUCGGAUGUGCCCAGAUGGGAUUAGCUAGUAGGUGGGGUAAAGGCUCACCUAGGCGACGAUCCCUAGCUGGUCUGAGAGGGUGACCGGCCACACUGGAACUGAGACACGGUCCAGACUCCUACGGGAGGCAGCAGUAGGGAAUAUUGGGCAAUGGACGAAAGCCUGAUGGAGCAAUGCCGCGUGAAUGAAGAAGGCCUUCGGGUUGUAAAGUACUUUCGGCAGAGAAGCGUUACCCACAGAGGAAGCACCGGCUAACUCCGUGCCAGCAGCCGCGGUAAUUC
rnacentral:rRNA from 1 species